UACCGAGGAGGAACGGGAAGUUCAAAGCCAAGUUUUUACCCAGAGCUUGAUUCUCUUCCUCCUCACAAACCUGCUAAGGCAGAAUCUGCCUGAUGUGGAAGUGAAGGCUGCCUGUCAAGGACACGGAGCAUUCGCGUCCUUCUCCUCUGAGUGUCUGUCAUAUUGGCAGGCAGAUGCAAGUGAGACUCCUGUGGGACCACGGUGGGUCAAUAAUGUCAAUGUGGUGUUGGGUUUACAUUCAGCUUUUCUUUGACUAAAGAGAUAGCUAUUAUGUAUAAUUAAGGCUUGGGAAACAGUGUCAGCAUUUUUCCUUAGAGAAAUGAAUAGGGGCAAUAGCUGGAGGGACCGACGUCUGUGGCAGCGGCUGGCUGUGACUCCAGGCUGCACAGCUUGCCGCCCUGGAGAUGUGAGCUGCUCUACUGGAAUGGGUGCAGCCAGCAGCCCCUCCCUUCAGCCUGUGCUGCUGCUGCUGCUGCGCCCCCUCUCAGAUGAGUCUAAAUCCCAGAGACAGCCUCGUUACAGCCCAGAUUUCCAUCCCCAAGUCCGUCCCUGCGCUGAACGGCCGCCCGCCGUGACCUGUCACCUCCAUUCCAUUGCUAACUCUCUGAGAAUAACCCAGCUGCUGGCAGCUUCUCUGUCUGUGUCCUUGAUGGUCAGCCAUGUGUGACUCCACGUGGAUGCCCGGAACUGAGCCUGCAGGUCCCAGGAAGGUCCGGUGUCUUCGUAUGAUCCACUCAGAUUCAUUUGGAAUCCUUUUGACAUCACUGUGGUUGCACAGACUCUGCAGUCUACAGAAACCUGACCUCUUCAAGACAUUAAGGAGGAGAAUGAAGCGCAGGGGCUGAGGAGGAAAGCCGAGACCACGUCACUGUGAAAUUUCGAAGCCAGAGGGAGAAGGUCACUGUGACAUGAUGGAAGAGCAGAAAUCAAUGGUGGCUGGCUGCUUGGUGAUGGGAGUCAAUCCAUCAGCAGGAUUGGUGGCAAUCGCUCACCCUGCACAGCCCCCUCCCCGCCUCACACACACAGUGGCAAAUGUCAUUCUGGGAACUCAUUUGCAUGGUCGGGCAGCACUCCCUGCAGAGCUACGGUGAACAUUUAUGCAGGGACACCGCUGGCAACAGGAAAGCCAGCACAGCGCUGUGAGGGAUUGCCCUGUGCCUUUCCUAAACUUGACCUGGGGGUCGACCUAGGAAGGCUGUGUUCUGUAAAGGGGACAGAAAAGAGUGUAGCUCUAGGCAUUGGAGCCAUUAUCCCAUGCCUUGAAUUCCCAGAUCAGCGUCCCUAAGCUGUAAUUCUGCCUCACCUAGGAAUAUACGGACCUGCCUUGCUUCAUUACCUGAGAAGAGCAGUGCCAGCGGGUUCAUCAGCAGAGGCAUUUCCUUUGCCCCGUGGGAGAACAGAGUCAGAAGUAACUUGACAAAGGUUGGGCCAUAUGGCAAGUGUUCCUUUUAAAGUCUACCUUUGAAAAUACUUGCGUCUAUUUUUACUUCUUUUUAUCUCUUCCCCUUCUUCCUACUCAUCUUUCGCCUUUCCAUCUGCUCUGUCACAAUGGCUGGCUGGGGGCUCUUCUGCUCUAUUCAAAUGGAAGUCACAGGUCUUCAAGGGACAGCUCACUGAUGGACAUACAUUCUGGAGGCUCAAAAGCUUUCUUUCCGGGUCCAGAAAUGCAAUCCCAUCACUCUGUGUGGUCUCCAGUUCCAGCAGUCACAGGCAGUCUCUUCCAGACCUAUCACAAGCCUCACACAAGCACAGUCACUUUCUGUCCAUCCUAAGUGCUUUGCUGAGUCACUGGGGAAGUGCUCAUCCUGACUUGUUGCUGUAAUUGGGUCCCUCUGGCUGCGGCAGCAGAGUCAUCUGGUGGUACCAUGCCUUACAUCGCUGAAGAGAAGGACUGAGCUUUGUUGGAGGCCAGCUGAAGUCACUGUGACUGCAACAAGGGCUCCUGACUCAGACUGCGGCUUCAGCUGCAGCCAUGCUUGACAUGCUUCCCGCUUCCUCUGGGUAUCUGCUAAGUAGAGUGUUCAAGCAACCACAUUGCCAUGAGGACUGGCCAGACACUGCCAACAGGGGCCUUUCAGUAGUUAACAGAGUAAGAGGAGGUCUGAUGACCUCAAGGACUCAAAUCAACGCAACCCCAAAGGUGAAAUAAACAGAAGAGGGGUCUCACAGUAAAAGCCCAUAAUUUGAAUUCUUACGGCAUUGAGCUCCUCGCUGAAUGCUCUUGGAGACAGUCAGGUUCCUCUGAUGUGCAUCAUCCCCACUCACACAGCCAGCCACAGUAAUACUGGUGACACACCACAGUGACUUCUGGCUGAUUUCUCCUUAGCUAAAUUCUACUUAUUUAUAGGAAGAAAAAAUACUAACAAACAGGGCUAGAGGCCUAAUUAUUCUCUUAGUUUUAAAAUAAGUUGUUGAUGUACUAUAUGCAUGCCCGUCCGGAUAGAGAUCUUAAUUCCAUCAUUUGAUGGGUAUGUCAAAUGUGUAUGCAGCCUUCUCUCAUGUGUCCCCAGUAACAUCCAAGUGACUCACGGCCCUGGCCACUUCCCUUGUGAGUCAGUUUCCCCAGUCACCCAUACCCACAGUCACAGAGUCUCACUAUGUUGCUAAAAGUGUCCUUCAGUUCCUGGGCUCAAGCGCUCCCGGGCCCUCAGCCUUCCACGGCUGGGAUUACAAGUGCACACCAUGUACCUGACUCUUGAGUUCUGUUUUCAUGACAGUUUCUGUUUUUCUUUUGACUAUGAAGAGGUCACUUUCUAGCUCUUCACAUGCCAGAUAGACACCAGGGGUCUCUGGCUGUUGUUUCAGCCUUUUCAAUUUGUUGAGAUCUGUCUUAUUGGUAUCAGAUGGCCCACCUUGGUGACAACGUAACUCAAGAAGAACGCAUUCCUAAGUUGUGUAAGGGAAAACGUUUUCUCUAUUGAUUGAGAAAUUGUCCACUAAUUCAAUAUUGUGUAGCUCGGCAUUGAAUGCUACUGUCUGUUUCUAUGCAUGGUUGGAAAAAUCACAAAAAAAGUAAAAGCUGAUUAUAUAUUUGACAUAUCUCUAACUUUCCUGGUUUUUUUUUUUUUCUUUAAAAAGCUCAAUGAUUAGGUAGACAUGACUGAUACGUCUUCCUUGGCAUAUCAAUGGCUGGAUUCAUUCCUUAUGAUUAACAACCAGCCUUCUUUAAUUUUGUUAAUUUUUAAUUGACUUACAUUGUAUAUUUAGUUUAUCCACUGCAAUCUUCUUGGACUGUACAUCUAUAUGCUGCAAAAGUGUUAAAAUGUUUACUUUAAACCUAGCAAUAGUAUGUUUGAAUAAUUAUUAUUACAGAUGAUAUGUAUUGCAUGCUUGUAAGGCUCUUUGGUUUAGUUUUUCCUUUCCUAUCCAGGCUAAAAAAAAUCCUGCACUUUGCUCAGACUGCUAAGUCAUUUCGGGUUUAGUGUAACUGUUACUCACAGUAUCUACUCUGCACAUGAAGGAUCGUUUGACGUCAUUUCCUAUCUUCCCUCCUAGAUUACUUAUUAGUUAUAUUUUAGUAAUUGUCUGAGAGAUUGUAAUGUGCAUCUUUUGUUUAUUGUUAUUUUCCAGUUGUCACCUACAUUUCAUGCUCUUUUAGCAGAUAGUGUGAUUUUAUUGAUGUGUAUUAAAAUUACACAUACAUCACAAAAGCAUGAUGUAUUGCUGUCUUAAAAGCAUGAUGUAUUGCUGUUUUAAGUAAUCAAUGGCCAUAUAUACACAUGUAGCGCUAUAUAUAUAUAUAUAUAUAUAUAUAUAUAUAUAUAUAUAUGUAUGUACAUGCCCAUAUAUACAUGUACACACACACACACACACACACACACACACACGUAUAUAUAUAUAAAACCUGCAUCUUAAUGGGGCCACAGAUAAGAAAGUUCCAGAUACAGUUCACAAAUAAAUAAAACAACAGGCUUAAGGUAUGUACUUUGAACAGAAUACACAUAGAGCUUCAAAAAUGAAUAUUAAUAAUUAAGUAAAUAAGCAUACAUUUAGCUUAUUUCACUAACACAUAAUAUUUGUUUAAAUACAAUGUACUCAAGUAGAAACAAAGGUUAUGUGCACACAAGUGUGUGUGCAAGCAUGCAUGUGUGUGGACACACACAUGUGUGUGUGUUUCCCAGCUUACCAUGACUGGCAUCAUUUUUCUGAAAAUCUGUUUUCCUUCUGACUCCUCCUUGCUCUGUGAACAUCAUCAUGUGCAAUACUAUCCAUCUUCAGAAAGGAUUUCUCAAUGUUUGUCCAUCUGAAAUUAUCUUGUUUUUAAUUUUCAUUUGUAGAAGUAUAUAUUUCUAAACGUCCUUGACUUUUUUACAGUUUUACAAUUUGUAUUUCUCACUGUCAUUUUGCCAUCUCAUGGUCUUACAGAUUUUUCUUUGUGUUUUUUAUUAUUCUCAUUCUCUCUCUCUCUCUCUCUCUCUCUCUCUCUCUCUCUCUCUCUCUCUCUCUCUUUCUCUCUGCCUGCGUGUAUGUUUAGUUUUCAUGUUUUGUUUUUUGCUCACUUGUUUAUAUUGCUAAGUGGUCACUAUGUUUAGAGCUAUGGGUUGUGGUUUUCUUGACUUUUGGGGAGUUAUUUUUCCUGUAUUCUUUUCUGCUCUAUUUUCUAAUGACAAAUGUGUCAGAUAUCUGAUUUUACUCUCAAACCUCAAAUGCUCUGCCCUUUUUUUGUUGUUAUUACUGCACUCAGUUUUUAUGGAUGAUUCUUCCUACAGCUCACCCAUUGCUCUAUUUCCUGCUCAGGGUCGUCUCUGACAUGGACAUUUAACGGAAAUCAUAUUCACUAGAACCUCUUGUCUAUACCCCAUCCCUUGAGAUAAACUACCCACCUUCCCAAACAAUGUGUCUAUAAUUUUUCUCAUUAACCAGGGUAUCAUUACGUAAAAGGCUAUUUCACAGUUCUUUUGCAGUCGUGAACUAUGCAUAAUUUAAUGUCUAAUGACAGUGUGGUCCUCUUAGUGAACUGGGCUCUGGUUCCAGGAUGCUUAAGGACCCUACAUAAAGUGGUGCAGCACAUGCAUGUGCCUGUAAUCUUCUGCAGCCUCCUGGAGAUGUUCAAUCAUCUCCUGUAACUUAGAAUAGCUAAUGCAACCUAGAGGCUGUGCAAACAGAUUUGAUUCUGUACGUUUAGGGAAUAAUGACCAGGAAAAUGUGAUGCAAACGUUCAGAACAGCGUCAUUUAAAAACACAUUUUCAAUCCAUGCUUGGCUGAACCUGAGACGCAGAGACAUGAAGGGCCACCUGCCAGUCACUGUCCAGAAACUGUCAGUGUUAAUGUUUUCUUCACGGUUCCCCUUUUAUCUUCUUUCACCCUUGCAUUUAGAACAGGGUGUCAAGUAGCUCAGGCUAGCCUUGAAUUCAUAAUAGAACCAGGGCUAGCCUCAAACUCCUGAUCCUUCUGCCUCCAUCUCCCAAAUGCUGGAAUUGCUGAUGUGUAUCACCCUGGCUAGCCUAACACUUUUAAAUAGUGUUGAUAGUUAACAGUCGACAUUAGACACCAUGAUCUUUCUUUUUGUGGGCAUGUUUAUACCCCCAACUGUUAAGAAUGCCUUUUCAGCAUCCAGAAAAAAACCUGUGGCAGUUUUAAAGAUGUUCCACUGACUUGGGCUUCUGUCCUAAAGUUAAUUGUAAGUUAUCGCUAUUUACAAGACAGCAUAUUUCUUUUGCAUUCUUCUUUGCAUUUGAAUCUAUUUUACUAUUAUUUUCCCUGUACACAAUAUUCACUGUGUUUUUGUAUGUGGGGUACAAAGGCUGGUGUCUUUUACAUUAUGAAAAUUCCUCACUAUUGAUGUUUAGAACACAACCAUUCCCUCCCUGUCUACCACACCUAGAACUGCAUUAUAAUGUUCAUGGAUGAAUUUAUAAAAUGAUGCCUUAAUUUUAGAAUGUAUUCUUUGUGUUUUAUUCUAAUAGUCUACUAUUUUUCUUUUGACCUUAAUUCCCUUUCUACAGUGUCUAAUCCCCUGACAUUAUAGGGCAUUUUGAGAUAAAUGUUAGAAAAUUAUGGAAAUGCUCUACAGGCCUUUAUGAGAGUAUCCUUGCCACAAUGGCUACAUUAUUGUGCACACUACACUGUCACAGCCAGGAUGUGGUUACUAGUACAACCCACUGACUCCAUUCAGAGUUCUCCAGGUGUGCACCCAUCCUGGUGUGUGGACAAAUACUUCCUCACUCUCAGAGACACAGAGACAAUGUUCUCCUCCUGUUUCCAGUCCAGUCUGGGUCAUCAUCUACUACUACUUUUUGUUUCUAAAUUCAAUCUGAUUUUUCCAUCAGAAAAGAAGCUAAUAGUACUCAGUGACCCUGGAGCUUUAUUGAUCUCCAACUAGUCCUGAAGCUAGUUGGAGUUAGGCGUAUGCAGGGGUGUGUGUGUGUGUGUGUGUGUGUGUGUGUGUGUGUGUGUGUGUGUGUGUGUGUGUAUGCGUGUGUGUGUGUGUGUGUGUGUGUGUGUGUCUGUUGUCUGUCUAUUCGUGACAUGGGACAGAGACAGGGAGAAACAGCUUGAGAGGCUGGAUGUUUACACAGAUGUGCAGGUUGACUGUGUUUCUGUGCCUCAGUACGAAUCCUGGCUUCACCCUUGAUUUCUUGCUGCAGCUGCCAAUGCCGAGACCAUUGGCUCCGUUCCACACAAACACCCAAUUUUCAUUUCCAGUUUCUUUCAGCUAGGUGUUCUCCUAACUUACAUUUUUUUUCUCUAACCAGAGUCCCAUGGACUGUCAUAAAAUCAGUCUUCUUUCUCACCUCAUUUUUGUGGUCAAUAGCAUGUCUUUUUUCUAACAACUGCAGCUAUGGAGACCUUGGAGGCCAUGACCCAUUUAUCUUUUGUUCUUACCCACUUUCAUAUUAUUUCUUGAAAUAAUUACAAUGCCUCCUCAUACUUAUCCAGAAGGGUUUCACUAUGUACCACUCCUUAAAUGGUGCAUCUAAAGUUUCAUUGUUCAUUUUAUACAUGUCAAAUCCUGAAGUUGAUAUUUGUGUUUUCUUUAUGCCUAAACUGCAUGCUUUCCUACAGUAACCACCCAUAGUUAAAUGUUAUUAUUUAGGUUUAUUCACCAUUUGUAUUUUAUAUAAUUAAAUUUUUAUUAUCUAAUACAUUUAUUUUAAUAUGCAUAAAUAUAUA